rnacentral:rRNA from 1 species
AUGCAUAGGAAUUUUGUUCUCCAUUUUGUUUAUUGGUACAUGUGUGAUGGUUUUCAUGUUAUGAAUAUAUUGGUUUGUGUGAAGUUCAUGUGCGACUACCCAAGGAGUUCAACAAUCACUCACCACGAAGGAAGAAGAGGUGAGCAACUCCCAGGCUGUUCAACUUCGCUGCGUCAGGCUGUGCAAUUUCGCUCGUGUGAACAAAGGGGGAGCAGUUUCUUCUUAACUGUUGAUUCUGCACUUGUAUGGUGCAUUUUGUCUCAGCUUUUAGGUGAAUUCAUUGCUUCUCUUACAUUGUGUUCAACAGGGUACAAAAUGUUUGCAUACAAAAUGUUUGUGUAUGUGUGUAGGAGCUGCUGUUGUGCUAGUGCCAUGAGAAAAUGGAGCUUUUUCCGAGUUGUUUUUUCUGUAAUACAUGUGAAGACUUCGGUAUGA